CCCUAUGGGGUGCAGCAGGCGCGAAAACUUCACACUGCAGGAAACUGUGAUGAGGGAACUCCAAGUGCACGCACUUAGUGUGUGCUUUUUUCAACUAUUAAUCGGUUGAAGAAUAAGGGCUGGGAAAGACCGGUGCCAGCCGCCGCGGUAAUACCGGCAGCUCAAGUGGUCGUCGCUUUUAUUGGGCCUAAAACGUCCGUAGCCUGUUUGGUAAAUCUGUGGGUAAAUCAACCAGCUUAACUGGUUGAAUUCUGCAGAGACUGCCAGACUAGGGACCGGGAGAGGUGUGGGGUACUCUAGGGGUAGGGGUAAAAUCCUGUCAUCCUUAGAGGACCACCAGUUGCGAAGGCGCCACACUGGAACGGAUCCGACGGUCAGGGACGAAGCCUAGGGGCACGAACCGGAUUAGAUACCCGGGUAGUCCUAGGUGUAAACGCUGUGAACUUGGUGUCGGGGAUCCGUCAUGGGUCCCCGGUGCCGGAGUGAAGAUGUUAAGUUCACUGCCUGGGGAGUACGGUCGCAAGGCUGAAACUUAAAGGAAUUGGCGGGGGAGCACUGCAACGGGAGGAGCGUGCGGUUUAAUUGGAUUCAACGCCGGAAAACUCACCAGGGCCGACUGUUAUAUGAAGACCAGUGUGAUGAACUUGUCGGAUUUUCAGAGAAGUGGUGCAUGGCCAA
rnacentral:rRNA from 1 species